rnacentral:rRNA from 1 species
UACAGAGGUGGCAAGCGUUGUUCGGAAUUACUGGGCGUAAAGGGCGCGUAGGCGGCCUUCUAAGUCAGACGUGAAAUCCCCCGGCUUAACCUGGGAACUGCGUCCGAUACUGGCGGGCUUGAAUCCGGGAGAGGGAUGCGGAAUUCCAGGUGUAGCGGUGAAAUGCGUAGAUAUCUGGAGGAACACCGGUGGCGAAGGCGGCAUCCUGGACCGGCAUUGACGCUGAGGCGCGAAAGCUAGGGGAGCAAACGGG